UGCCAGUAGUCAUAUGCUUGUCUCAAAGAUUAAGCCAUGCAUGUCUAAGUAUAAAUGGUAUACAAUGAAACUGCGAAUGGCUCAUUAAAACAGUUAUAGUUUAUUUGGUAAUCAAACUUACAUGGAUAACCGUGGUAAUUCUAGAGCUAAUACAUGCUGUUGCGCCCGACUCACGAAGGGCCGUAUUUAUUAGAUAUCAGCCAAUAAGCAUCUGCUAUUGUGGUGACUCAUAGUAACUUAAUCGGAUCGCAUGGGCUUGUCCCGCGACAAACCAUUCAAGUUUCUGCCCCAUCAUGCUUUCGAUGGUAGUGUAUUGGACUACCAUGGCUUUCACGGGUAACGGAGGAUUAGGGUUCGAUUCCGGAGAGGGAGCCUGAGAAACGGCUACCACUUCCACGGAAGGCAGCAGGCGCGUAAAUUACCCAAUCCUGAUUCAGGGAGGUAGUGACAAGAAAUAAUGGGUCGGGGUUUUGCCCCGGGACUGCAAUGAGACGAAUUUAGACCCCUUAUCGAGGACCAAUUGGAGGGCAAGUCUGGUGCCAGCAGCCGCGGUAAUUCCAGCUCCAAUAGCGUAUAUUAAAGUUGUUGCAGUUAAAAAGCUCGUAGUUGGAUUUCUGGUAGUGGGUUAGAGCGCACAUGCGUGAUGCUCGCGUCCAUUGCCAUCCUUCUGUUAACCUGUCAGGGCAUUCAUUUGCCAGUCAGGGGCUCAGAUAUUUUACCUUGAGAAAAUUAGAGUGUUUCAGGCAGGCUUGUGCCCGGAUACAUUAGCAUGGAAUAAUGGAAUAGGACUUUUGCCUCUUCUGUUGGUCUGAGGGGUUGAAGUAAUGAUUAAUAGGGAUAGUUGGGGGCAUUAGUACUUAACUGUCAGAGGUGAAAUUCUCGGAUUUGUUAAAGACUAACUUAUGCGAAAGCAUUUGCCAAGGAUGUUUUCAUUAAUCAAGAACGAAAGUUAGGGGAUCAAAGACGAUCAGAUACCGUCCUAGUCUUAACCAUAAACUAUGCCGACUCGGGAUCGGGGGCCAGAGUUAACUGCCUUCGGCACCGUAUGAGAAAUCAAAGUCUUUGGGUUCUGGGGGGAGUAUGGUCGCAAGGCUGAAACUUAAAGGAAUUGACGGAAGGGCACCACCAGGCGUGGAGCUUGCGGCUCAAUUUGACUCAACACGGGGAAACUUACCAGGUCCAGACAUAGUGAGGAUUGACAGAUUGAUAGCUCUUUCUUGAUUCUAUGGGUGGUGGUGCAUGGCCGUUCUUAGUUGGUGGAGUGAUUUGUCUGGUUAAUUCCGUUAACGAACGAGACCUUAGCCUACUAAAUAGUCGCAACAAUACUUAUUGGCUGCGACUUCUUAGAGGGACUUUGCGAGCAACCGCAAGGAAGUUUGAGGCAAUAACAGGUCUGUGAUGCCCUUAGAUGUCCUGGGCCGCACGCGUGCUACACUGACGCAUACAGCGAGUAUCACCAGCUCCGUGAGGCUGCUGGUAAUCAGCAAUAUGCGUCGUGCUGGGGAUAGAUCUUUGGAAUUUUUGAUCUUGAACGAGGAAUGCCUAGUAAGCGCAGGUCAUCAGCCUGCGUUGAUUAAGUCCCUGCCCUUUGUACACACCGCCCGUCGCUCCUACCGAUUUCGAGUGGUCCGGUGAACCCUUUGGACCGAGAGCGCCUCGUGCGCUUUUGGAAAGUCGAGUAAACCACAUCACUUAGAGGAAGGAAAAGUCGUAACAAGGUUUCCGUAGGUGAACCUGCGGAAGGAUCAUUAUUAUAAACAAUCCAAACCACUCAACCAAGCCAAUUUGUUGUCGGGCGAAAGCCUAGCAGCUAACAACCUAACCAAAAGAAACUUAACUAAGCUUCAACCUAAAACCAAAUCCUCAACGAUGGAUAUCUAGGUUCCUACUACGAUGAAGAACGCAGCGAAGUGCGAUAAGCAAUGCGAAUUGCAGAGCCGAGAGUCAUCAGAUUUUUGAACGUAACUGACACCGGAGGGUACUCUCUUCGGUAUGCUUCUUUCAGUGUGUGAUUCUCUCAUCACCCAAACCUUAAUGCGAUAGAUGCCCUUCUAUUGCUAAACUCGAGAGCACUCUGUACUUUACAGCGGAAGUCUUCGGACCGACGCACUCAAUGCAGUAGUCACAUUCUCAAAUGUGAACUCAUUGAGCGUAGAGUCAGCGCAUGUUUACAUGCCAGUGCUUGGACACUUAAAUUUUCUCAGCAUCUGAAAUGAAGUAGGACCACCCGCUGAACUUAAGCAUAUCAUUAAGCGGAGGAAAAGAAACUAACAAGGAUUCCCUCAGUACGGGCGACGGAAGCGGGAAAAGCCCACAUUGGUAAUCUCCGGGCGGCAGCUCGGCGAAUUGUAAUCUGAAGAUAGCUAGUCCACCUGGAUCGGACGCCGAAGUGCGCACGAGCGCGCCGCCAAAGAGGGUGAGAGCCCCGUAAGGUGUCGGGUCCUACAAGGGCUGGUUGUCCAAGAGUCGUGUACUUUGAUACUAGUGCACUAAGCGGGAGAUAAACUUCUUCUAAGGCUAAAUACAAGUAGGAAACCGAUAGCGAACAAGUACUGUGAAGGAAAGAUGAAAAGCACUUUGGAAAGAAAGUUAAAAGACUUGAAAUCGUUGAGGCGGACCCGGUAGAAAUGUAUUCUAGCGAAGCGCCCUGGGAAGCCCGUUUUCGGGCCACUUGGGCGUUAGCCGAGACAAGAUGGGGUCGCCGGAUGCCAGAGGCCGUGCGUGAGGAAGCUUGCUUCAGCGCGUGCUGGCCGGGUGUCGGGCGGCUCGAGGGGCCUUGUGCGAUCUUGUCAAAAUGGUUUUUACCGACUCGUCUUGAAACACGAACCAAGGAGUCUAAGACUAACGCGAGUGUGGUGGUGGAGAAACCAACACGCGAAAUGAAAGUAAUUGAUGCCAAGCUCCCUGCAGCAUCGACCGACCACUUUCUCUUGGGAGAGGUUUGAGUAAGAGCGUUAUUCUUAGGACCCGAAAGAUGGUGAACUAUGCCUGUGUAGGG
rnacentral:rRNA from 1 species